rnacentral:rRNA from 1 species
CCUACGGGUGGCAGCAGUGGGGAAUAUUGCACAAUGGGGGAAACCCUGAUGCAGCAACGCCGCGUGAGUGAAGAAGUAUUUCGGUAUGUAAAGCCCUAUCAGCAGGGAAGCAGAAAGACGGUACCUGACUAAGAAGCACCGGCUAACUACGUGCAAGCAGCCGCGGUAAUACGUAGGGGGCAAGCGUUAUCCGGAUUUACUGGGUGUUAAGGGAGCGUAGACGGCUGUGCAAGUUCGAAGUGAAAGCGCGUGGCUCAACCGCGGAACUGCUGUGGAAACUGUAUAGCUUGAGUACGGGAGAGGCAGGCGGAAUGCGUGGUGUAGCGGUGAAAUGCGUAGAUAUUAGGAGGAACACCAGUGGCGAAGGCGGCCUGCUGGACAGAAACUGACGCUGAGGCUCGAAAGCGUGGGGAGCAAACAGGAUUAGAUACCCUAGUAGUC